UGAAGGACUACAUUUUGUUCAUCACGAAAAAGAGACCAGUGUGUUACAAGAGUUCUCUGCUGACUAUUUCUGUACUACUUCAUGAGAUAUGAGCUACAAGGAUACCAGGGAAGGGGUUGCAGGAGCCCACACAUAGUCCCACCCAGAAAAUGGUACAAACAGAUAACUAACAGAAAUAACGACCAGGGAAAGGCUGGGGAAAGGGCAGGGGCAGAUUAACACCCAGCAGGGAAACCUUUCCCGCUGACAAAUGGUACAAGCAGAUAACUCACAGAGAUAACGACCAGGGAAAAGCUGGGGAAGGGGCAGGGGCAGAUAAACAGUCUGCAAGGCAGGAUAUUUGCUUGCUGAAACUUGAUAGGACACAUAUUGCGUUAAUCAUAAGAUUUUGGUAAUUUUCCACGGAGAAGUCACCAAAUAAAGACAUAGGGUGAAGAAGACGCGGCUGAGGAAGACUCCGCAGCCUUUUAUCACCGACCACCAGGAGACAGAAGGAUGAACCCCUAGCAACAACCAGCACAGGCGCAGAGAACUCCGAGAUAACAUGGACUCCUGAAGGAUGGAGAGGAUAAAAGGACUGAAUCAGAAACUAGUUGGUGCGGCAGUAGGUGGAGCUGAGACUCCCCUGUCGCCCAGCGCUGAGCCUUUGCUUACGUAGUAUAACUGCUUCAAUAAUUAAUAAAUUCUUUGAUUGGAAAUUGCUCGUUUUGAGUCAAUUUUAUAACAAUUUGGUGCCGUGACUCGGAUGAGAGUUUGGAUCGGGUAGGAUCUACCCAGAGUGGGGGGCGCCUCAUCCAGUGCUUUCUGGGUGGCCCCUCUGGGAGAACCUCCGCCACUCUCACCGACGACCCUAAAAUAUAUACUAGUAAGCAAACGGGACAAAUUAUACCGGUGAACCCCUUAAUUAUCUGUGCACGGAGUCCGGACGAAGACGCAGGACGCUCACCAAAUAAAGACAUAGGGUGAAGAAGACGCGGCUGAGGAAGACUCCGCAGCCUUUUAUCACCGACCACCAGGAGACAGAAGGAUGAACCCCUAGCAACAACCAGCACAGGCGCAGAGAACUCCGAGAUAACAUGGACUCCUGAAGGAUGGAGAGGAUAAAAGGACUGAAUCAGAAACUAGUUGGUGCGGCAGUAGGUGGAGCUGAGACUCCCCUGUCGCCCAGCGCUGAGCCUUUGCUUACGUAGUAUAACUGCUUCAAUAAUUAAUAAAUUCUUUGAUUGGAAA